rnacentral:rRNA from 1 species
UGGGGAAUUUUGGACAAUGGGCGAAAGCCUGAUCCAGCCAUGCCGCGUGCGGGAAGAAGGCCUUCGGGUUGUAAACCGCUUUUGGCAGGAACGAAACGGCGCGGGUGAAUACCCCGCGUUAAUGACGGUACCUGCAGAAUAAGCACCGGCUAACUACGUGCCAGCAGCCGCGGUAAUACGUAGGGUGCAAGCGUUAAUCGGAAUUACUGGGCGUAAAGCGUACGCAGGCGGCCAUGCAAGACAGGUGUGAAAUCCCCGGGCCUAACCUGGGAACUGCAUUUGUGACUGCAUGGCUAGAGUCUGUCAGAGGGGGGUGGAAUUCCACGUGUAGCAGUGAAAUGCGUAGAGAUGUGGAAGAACACCGAUGGCGAAGGCAGCCCCCUGGGACUAAGACUGACGCUCAGGUACGAAAGCGUGGGGAGCAAACAGGAUUAGAUACCCUGGUAGUCCACGCCCUAAACGAUGUCUACUAGUUGUCGGA